CUUGAAUCUCCUAAGAGGUCUAGCCUGCCCAGUGACUUGUUCAACGGCCGCGGUAUUCUAACCGUGCGAAGGUAGCGUAAUCACUUGUUUUCCAAAUAAAGACCAGUAUGAAAGGCAUCACGAGGAUUAAGCUGUCUCCUCUUUCUAAUCAGUGAACCUAAUCUCCCCGUGAAGAAGCCGGGAUUCAUGUAUAAGACGAGAAGACCCUGUGGAGCUUAAAACACUAAACAUGUGCCUCAUUUCCCAAUACCCCGGUAUUUCACCUAUCGCAUUCUGAUUAUAUGUUUUUGGUUGGGGUGACCGCGGAGAAAAUCCAUCCUCCGCAAUGAAAGAGACCUCCUCUAAGCAAUAAGUUACAACUUUAAGCAUCAAAAUUGGCAUAAAUGACCCAUAAUUUGAUCAAUGAAC
rnacentral:rRNA from 1 species